rnacentral:rRNA from 1 species
CACGUAGGGCGCAAGCGUUGUCCGGAAUUAUUGGGCGUAAAGAGCUCGUAGGCGGUCUGUUGCGUCCGCUGUGAAAACUCGGGGCUUAACCCCGAGCCUGCAGUGGAUACGGGCAGACUAGAGGUAGGUAGGGGAGAAUGGAAUUCCCGGUGUAGCGGUGAAAUGCGCAGAUAUCGGGAGGAAUACCGGUGGUGUAGACGGCUCUCUGGACCGCGACUGACGCUGAGACACGAAAGCGUGGGUAGCAAACAGG